rnacentral:lncRNA from 1 species
CCAAACCGACCCAACUACAGACCCGAAAACCCGACCCGGAACCCGCGACCUUGACCCGACCAUAUCUCCCAUUUUCGACCACCGUUUCGGCCGAGCUUGGUACCAAUCUGAAGCUUAGAAGCCGACCGUCGUUCCCCUGCCAUCCUCAUCGCCGAAAACUAACCAGAACGCCGGUGAUCGAAGCUUGAACCCGCGACUGUUUCACUUUACUCCGCCAGGAUUUUCGCCGAUUUUGGGUGACACCACCAGUUGAAUCUUGUUCCCCACGACUCCCUCUUCCAUUUCCGACCAUCCAUAGGCACCGAGAGUCACUGUUUUGCCGCCGGUCGAUUGUUAGAAUUCACGGCUGCCGAGCUCGAUUCCGGCGUCGUUGCCGCGCGUUGGAGCUCACCGCCGGUACCAUUGAACUCAGCGCGAUUGGAACUUUCAGAUUUGAGCUUCCUAGCCAGCGUUGACCAAAUUCCGGUGACCGUUGACCGGCAAGGGCAUUUUGGUAAUUUCACACUAUGAGGGCAAUUUUGGUAAUUUCUGAGCCUGUGGAUAGUUUAGUAAUUCCUAGAUUUGAGGAGUGGGUGUAAUUACGAUUCUGAGGGUAAUUCGGUGAUGUACGAUUUCAGAGUAUGUGUUAAUGAUUUACGGACUCAAGGGCAUUUUAGUAAUUUUAUGGACACGGGAGUUGUCAAUUAUGGAUAGAUGUUCGUUUCGAGUUUAUUGCAUAAAUUUAGUUGUAAUUCCAAUUUACGGAAAAUAACUAUGUCGUUUCCUUGAUUUAGGAGGAUCUGCGAGCGAGAACCGGUCCGCGGACGUGGACGAUAACCGACCGUGAACACCGUCACUGUGAGUGGAAUAUACAAAACCUAUUUGUAUAGUUAAUUAUGAUAGUAAAGCAUGUUUGCGAAAUAAGUAUUUUUAGUAAAGCAUGUUUGCGAGAUAAGUAUUUUAAAUGUUCUGAUUUAAUGAUUUCCUCGAACUGGAUUUUUUUCACGCAUUGGUAUAUUAUUAAAAUGUUUGGUUAAUGAUUUUGCGUAUCGACUUUGAAUAAGCAUGAUAGUAUUUUAAAGAUAAGAAAAGUGGAUUCAAAUGUGGUAUGAUUUAAAGUAUGAUGAAAAUGUAUGUGAAUAUGAGUAUAAUGAUUGUUUUUUAAAUCAUUAGACAGUACCCUUCCCUCCAGAUACAUGUGAUAUAGAUGAGAUGAGAGGCCUUUGGGGCCCGUCUGACACACAUAGAGGCUUUGGGCCGUGUGUUUGGGCGUAUUUGCCUUUUGGGGGCAUAUGCAUGCGGUAUGAUGAUUACAGAUAUAUUGAUAUGAGAUACAGACAGAUAUUGAGCUACAGAUGAUACAGAUGAGAUACAGGCCUUUGGGGCGCGUCUGAGUACACACAUAGGCUUUGGGCCGUGUGCUUGGGCGUUUUUGUCCUUUGGGGACUGUUGUGCAAAUUUUAAUGUACUCGCAAGCGCACGAAUCUAUUGUAGUAUAGACUAAUGGUGACGAGUGUCGAUCCCACGAGGAGGUGGAUUUUAAUUGUGUAUAGAAUUAAUUCUGUAAAUGGGUGGUUGGAUUUAUGGUGGAAAUGGUUUGGAAUAUGCUAAAAUCGAAAUUGAAAUGGCGAGAAGAAAUUAAAGUGUAGAUCUAUUAAAUUGACGUACUUGGGUAUCUGGAUCCGUAUCAACAUGCAUCAUGGGCUAAAUAUUCCUUAUUAAUACCAAUUAAAUCAUGAGGGGGAAUCCACACCUCAUGAACCACGCUCUAAUCAAUAUGGUGCUAAGGGCUUAUCGUGCCAAAUAAUAAUAACCUUAUACUAGAGAGCCGGUGUAACCAAGGCGGUAUCUAGACAAGACUAUUAUUAUUUGUCGACGAUAAGUCAAAUCAUCCACAAAAAUUAGAGGGGAAAAGAAAAAUAAAUUUACCAAAUAAAGCCCAUGACACAUGUUGAGACUUCACCUUCAACCCAAGCUUGAAAGGAAAUUAGCUACUCAUAAUUGAACUAGGGGCAAAAUGAGAAUUUAUUAAAAUACAAAGAAAAUACAAGAAGGAGAGGGAAUUACAGAAAAUGGAGUCCAAAAAUGGAUUCAGGGAUAUCAAAUUAGGGGGGAGAGGCCCCCUUUUUAUAGAUACAUGGAGUAAAUCAUGGCCAUCGGAUUAAAAACAGUUUGGACACUCAGGAUUGCGCCACGUCAUCAGUCAACAGUCCACGGUUUGACCACGCGGAUGAACAGUAACACGGUUUGACCCGACUUUGAACAGUAACGCGGUUUGACCCGGAUGAACAGUAACACGGUUUGGUUGAAAAUAAUCCUGUGUGAUGCAUGCACCGUACACGAGAUUUUUCGUUCACUGAUAUGCUGCCACGUCACCAUUACAGUACAUAAGAAUUUUAGCCCAACAGGAUCGUGACACCUCAUCAGUCAAUGCCACAUCAUCGGUCAAUGCCACGUCAUCGGUCCGUCUAUGUGAACAGUGUCGUGAACAGUAACGUAGACAGUACCGUAUACGUGAAUAGUACCGUAUAUGUGAAUAGUGCCAUUUUUCCUUUUAUGCCCCUCCUAAGGUUUUCGACCGUCCUGAGUUCAAAAGUGAUGUCCGUUUUGCCAUCUGAUCUCUCCUUUAUUGUGAAAUGACUAUAAUGCCCCUAAAAUAUAUAAAUUACUUAAUUAAAAUAAAACACACGUAAUUAAAUCACAAGAAUGUUAAAUACAUAAAAGUAAGGGUUGUUAGUAAGAUUUGAAAUGUAAAAUGACGGUUUUCUCCUUUAUAAAUAUGCAUUUUCUAACACUCAACACACCCCCCAACCAGCUUAUUGCUAGUCCCUAGCAAAUAAAGCGAAAACAAAAUUCAAAUUCAAAAUGAUUUUUUUAUAUAUUUUUUUUAUUUUUUUAGAAACACUCGUGUUUAUUCAAUCAGAUUAAUGAUAGCAAUCAAAUAAAAGUAUAAGCAUUAUCUCUAGUCUAAAGCAACAUCACACCCACAUCAACCAUCCACAUGAAUUAGCCCAGUAGACUUUGUUAUAGCUACUUUCAAGAAUGACAUGUCAAACUCCAAAAUCUCACUGGAAGUAGUGACACUCUCACAAAGAAAUUAAAACCCAAUAAACAUAGUCACUCCAAUGAAUGGUAAUUGAGAGAGAAAAUAAUAAAGAAAUGAUAUCACAUGCUCUCACCAAGAUGAAAUAAAUAUGCCCUCAGCUUAGAAAUAAUACGAUCUCAAGUCAAAUAAAAUGCUAGUCAACCCACUUUAUUUAUCUUUUUUUUUUUUUUUAUUAUGCAUCACUACAUCUUUUUAGCCCAUAUAACUAGCUUCUACUUCAAACUAUAGUUCCCUAAAAUCAAGAAGGACUUUUAUUAGGACGUAACGUAGGCUAGGGAUAUGGCUAACAAAGAAAGGAAAUAAGGAAAACAAAGUGUAUGUUUGAGAAAAAUGCAGAAAUUUUUUUUUUUUUUUUUUUUUUUUUGGAAGUUGCAAGGUGGAUUUCACCUAUUAUUGUUAUUUUUAUUCUUUUGAAACAACAACUUUUGUUUUUUGUUUUUUGUUUUUUUGCUUAACUUCACUGAACAACAUAAUUAUUUACAUUUUCUCAAACAUAAAUAGGUGAUGGAACUUAAAAGACAUUGGGUAAUACUCCAAAUCGGAGUGGGUCAAGAUGAUAAGUUGACAAAGAAAAGGUUUUUGUUCUUUUUUUUUUUUUUUUUUUUUUUUUUUAAAGGCUCAAAAGGGGUAACUAUGGAUAUUUAAUAAAAGGGAUGGCUAGAAAGGCUCAAACGGAUCAAAGAUGGCCUUUCCAUCGUCUUUUAGGGCUCUAAAUAAUUAUCCAUAUCUACUAGUUAGAUGGGCCUCCCAAUGUAGCAACACACAUUUUUUUCUUUUUUUCUUUUUUUUUUUUUAAUUUUACCAUUUUUUUUUAAAGGGUUAACUUAAAAGAAAUCUAGAGAUCGUGUAUAAAAUAAUAAACUACUAAGCUGUAUAGAAAAUGGGCAAAAGGGUUACUCUCCAAGAAAAUGAUAGGCUCAACAACUCACUUGGCACUUAUUUAUGACAUGUUCAUUCCUUCAAGCAACUCAUAUUUGUUUCCGACAUCAACAUGUAGAGUAGCAAACAUAAUGUAACAUCACUUAAGACCAAAGAUAAUACAAAUACUAAAAUUUGAAAUUAAUCAUGUCAUCCAAUGUUAAAACAAAUCACACAAUUUUUUAUUUUUUUAUUUUCAACAACAUUCUACCCCCCAACCUAUUCUAAGCAUGAAAGGAAAAUAUGCAUGCAGAAAUGUGAAAAUGAUGCAUAAAAACUAAUUAGAAAAGUUACACGUAAAAUGAUAGAAAACGAAAAUGAUUUUUUUUUUUUUUUAAAGAAGAUGCGUUUCUAGAGGAACUACACUCCAUAUUCAACCAUCUUCGACUCAAAAGUUGGAAAAUGUAUAUUUAUAGAGGAGAAAUUAAAAAGAAGAAAAAUAAACAUAAACACAUAAUAAAGAAAAAGAAAAUGUCUGAAUUUUUUUUUUUUAUAUUAAACGAUGAAGAUGCGUUUCUAGAGUAACUACACUCCAUAUUCAGCCAUCUUCAAUACGAACGUUAGCAACAGUUAGUUUCUACAACAAAAAAUCAGUAAAAACUUAACCAAGAUUCCACAAUUGUCGACUAUUCCCUCCCCCCAACCAGAACGAAACAUUGUCCUCAAUGUUUUAAAGGAAAGAAGUAGAGUUUAGAAGACAUCACCUGGGUGGUGCAACACAGAAGAAAAUAUUUACAGGCGGAGAGUUAAAUCUAAUUUGUACUUCUUACUGCGGCUACUGUUACCAUCAUUAUUUGGUCGCUCCAACACAAAGGUCCAGGGGUCUGGCUCCGGUUUAUAAGCUUGUAACAUGUCAAGUAGCUCAUUAGCAGUGUUAGCACAAAUAAAAAGCUUUUUGGCAUUGGAAGGAAUGAAAUAGUUUUUUAUUGCAUGGUUAAGAAAUGCGAUAAAGCCAUCAUAAAAAUUAUUGACAUUUAACAAACCGAUGGGUUUCUGGUGAAUGUGCAGAUGGGCCCAAGAUGCUAGUGUGAUAAGUGCCUCUAGUGUUGCAAGAUCUCCUGGAAGGAAAAUAAAAGCAUCAGCAUGAUUAAGCAAUUCAGUUAUUCUUUCUUGCAUACCUGAGACGACUAACUCUUCUCCAGUUGAUGAGUCAGACGAACUGCCCAAUGGUUUUAGGACUCUUGGGAUGAUGCCUAACACUUGACUUCCUCUGAUAAAAGCUGCUUCUGAGACCAUUUUUGAUAACCCUUGGUUACCUCCUCCAUACACCAAGUGUAAUUUUCUCGCUGCUAUGCUUCGACCAAGAUCUAUGGCUGCCUCCACGAACUCUUUAUGUUUGCCAUAGGUAAAUCCAGAAAGCACACAAAUGUUCUUGAAUUGUCUAUUGGGAGUAGCUGCCAUUGUGAUACUUCUCAAAAACAAUUUGUGAGUGCUUGACAAAAGAUAAAUCACAUUUAAGAGUCUUGGUGACAGUGGGUCACAACUGUGUAUGAAGUGGCAUGUCAGUGUCAAAUAAUGUGUAAAGCACAUGGCUCGCGAGUCAAAAAGGAAACAGUAAAAAGGAAAAAGCAAACAGUAAUAAAAUUAUUAAAGACAAUAAUGCAAACAAUAAAACAAUAGUGAAAUGGAAUAAAAUAACAAUAAAGUAAAAGGAUAUUUACAGGUAGUUGCGACUGUGGCUCACAUCUUCCUCUGGUUUUACGUCCAGAAACGGCUUGAACGCCCUCUAUGGGUCGAGGAUAGGCUUCCUAUCCAGUUUUCUUAUAAACUGGCAAACAGGGUCGUUUAUAGUCAGAUUCCCGAGACUAUAUUGUGCAUGCUCUUUCUGGAAUAAUGGCCAUAACUGGAGAAUCGCUCCUUGCACAUAUCCACUGGGAUGCGUUUCAAGAGACAGAAGGAUAUCAUCCAAUGACUCCUUAUUCAAGCCAUCCCUAAUGAAUUGAAUCUUAUCUUCUCUGUUAUCAGACAUCAUUCCUAAAGAACAUGGGUUUCUAUCGCAACUCAUUCUGGCACACUUGUGACAAGCAACAGAAAUUCUUCGAGCUCGUCGUUUUCUUGCAUAAUUUCCUUUACCACAACCAGGCAUGUAUGCAAUAAAUUUAGGAGGUAACUCACCUGCUAAUCGUACUUUAGCCUCGAUUAACCAACGGAUGUCUGCAGGUAUGUUAUUCCUCAUGAGUAAUCGCAUGCGUUCGAACCGAGCUUUAUAGAUCGUAAGGAGGGUAUUCUGAGGAAGUGAAGGGAAUCGCUUGUGAAGCUUCGCUAGAAUCUCGUUUCUGUCCAUACUUUCGCCUCAGAAUGUCAGUUAUUAUGGGAAACUGAAGUAACCGACUUGAUUGUCACGGAGUACCGUUAUUCGCCACUUCACCGGGGUAACAAACUAAAGCACACAAACAGAAAAACAAAUUAAAACACACAAAGAAAAUUAAAAUCGUCCUCUUAUUGAAUUUACCUCAAGCUCCAACUGGAUGUCGUAAACACUUCUCUCAAUGUCUCUGAGUUGGCGUUCUAAACCCUCAACAUAGGCUACUAACUCUGGUGGUUGUAGAGCCCAAAUGCGAUGUGUUUUACAAAAUUGAAUCUGCCUUUUGAGAUGAGUUUUGACUCGUUGAAGUGGUUUAAGAAUGUUCAGGAGGAACGGUCUAAGUAAGGUACUCAUGAUUAAAAAUGAUAAGAGAAAACUUAAUAGUUAAACAAACACACUUAUGCAAAAAUAAUUUCAAUUAGCAAAAGAAUAAUAAAAAGAAAGAAAGAAAAAUCAAAUCAACGAAAAGAAAAAACAAAUCAAUUCAAAUCUGGUGGGUCACUCAAAUUUAUUUCGGUGUCUUCUCCAUGUGGUUGGUACUCAAGAUAUGGCUUUAAUCUUUGACCAUUAACUUUAAACGUGACACCGUUCUUUGGGUCCUUAAUUUCAAUUGCCCCAUGUGGAAAAACAGUAUGUACAAUAAAUGGGCCAGACCAUCGAGAGCGUAACUUACCUGGGAAUAGGUGCAAGCGAGAAUUGAAUAAAAGUACUUUCUGACCUGGAGUGAAAGAUUUUCUCAUAACGUGCUUGUCGUGGAAGACUUUCAUCCGCUGCUUGUAAAUUUUGGCAUUUUCAUAUGCAUCAUUUCGAAUUUCGUCAAGUUCUGCCAGUUGUAAUCUUCUUUCUGAGCUGGCUUGCUGCAUGUCAAAGUUGAAUUUCUUGAUGGCCCAAUAUGCACGAUGCUCGAGUUCCACAGGUAGGUGGCAAGCUUUUCCAUACACUAGCCUGUAGGGUGACAUCCCAAUCGGGGUCUUGAAAGCCGUUCUAUAUGCCCAUAAUGCAUCAUCAAGUCGUAAUGACCAAUCUUUCCUGUCUGGCCUCACCGUCUUUUCUAAUAUGUGCUUUAUUUCUCGAUUGGAGAUCUCAACUUGGCCACUGGUUUGCGGAUGAUACGGAGUCGCCACUUUGUGGGUGAUUGAAUACUUUGUCAAAAGAGCUUUGAAUGCUUUGUUACAAAAGUGGGCACCACCAUCACUGAUUAUCGCUCGAGGGAAUCCAAAGCGUGAAACAAUGUUGCUUUUCAAAAAUCCUAUCACCACUUUGUGAUCAUUGGUUCUGCAUGGAAUUGCUUCCACCCAUUUCGAUACGUAGUCAACAGCAACCAAUAUGUAUUGAUGACCAAAAGACGGAGGAAAUGGUCCCAUGAAGUCGAUACCCCAUACGUCAAAAAUCUCAACCACUAAAAUUGGAUUUAGUGGCAUCAUGUUCCUUUGUGUAAUGCUCCCCAUUCGUUGACACCUAUCACAUGAAGAACAGAAAGUGUAAGCGUCUCGAAAUAUAGUUGGCCAAUAGAAACCACAUUGUAAAACUUUAGUCGUUGUUUUCUUAGCACUGAAAUGGCCUCCACAAGCUUGUUCAUGGCAGAAUGAAAGGAUCGCCUAACAAUUUGAUCUGCACAAUACUUGAACAAAUACGGGUCAUCCCAAAAGAAAUUCUUUAUUUCCGCAAAGAAUUUAGCCUUGUCUUGCUUGGUCCAAUGCUCUGGAAGUUUACCUGUAACAAGAUAAUUAACUAUAUCAGCAUACCAAGGUAAUACUUCCACAUUCAUUAAUUGUUCAUCUGGAAAUGACUCAUUCAAUGGUAAUGGUUCCAUAAUUGUAUCAAAAUGGAGGCGAGAGAGAUGGUCAGCUACAACAUUCUCUGUGCCUUUCUUAUCUUUGAAUUCCAAGUCAAAUUCCUGCAAAAGUAACACCCAACGAAUUAGUCUAGCUUUUGCAUCUUUCUUUGUGAGAAGAUAUUUAAGAGCAGCAUGAUCUGUGAAUAUAAUUAUUUUACAACCAAUGAGAUAAGAUCGAAAUUUUUCUAAUGCAAACACUACUGCUAGCAUUUCUUUUUCAGUAGUUGAAUAGUUCAACUGUGCAUCAUUCAAUGUCAUACUAGCAUAGUAAAUAACAUGGGGAAUUCGAUCAACUCUUUGUCCUAAUACUGCUCCUACUGCAUAAUCAGAUGCAUCACACAUGAGCUCAAAUGGUAAGCUCCAGUUUGGGGCCUGAAUGAUGGGUGAUGAUGUCAACAAAUGCUUUAAUUUUUCAAACGCAACAAGACAUGAAUCAUUAAAGAUAAAAGGUACAUCCUUAGCAAGUAAAUUGCAUAAGGGUCUAGAAACUUUGCUAAAAUCUUUAAUGAAACGUCUAUAGAAACCAGCAUGCCCAAGGAAAGAUCUUACUUCUCUGACUGUUUUGGGUGGAGGAAGAUUAGAAAUGAGAUCCACCUUGGCUUUGUCAACCUCAAUACCUUUGCUCGAAAUGAUGUGACCGAGAACAAUACCUUGUUUUACCAUAAAAUGGCACUUCUCCCAAUUCAAGACUAAGUUCUUCUCGGUACAUCUCUGCAGAACUAGCGUUAGAUGAUGUAAACAUUGAUCAAACGAGUCACCAAAGACAGAAAAAUCAUCCAUAAAGACUUCAAGGAAUCGUUCAACCAUAUCAGAAAAAAUGCUCAACAUGCAUCGUUGAAAUGUAGCAGGUGCAUUACAUAAUCCAAAUGGCAUUCUCCUAUAUGCAAAUGUGCCAAAAGGGCAAGUGAAAGUGGUCUUCUCUUGAUCUUUUGGUGCUAUGGGAAUCUGAUUAUAUCCUGAGUAGCCAUCUAGAAAGCAAUAAAAUUCAUGGCCUGCUAAUCUAUCAAGCAUUUGAUCAAUAAAUGGUAAAGGAAAAUGGUCUUUACGUGUGACAGAAUUCAACUUUCUAUAAUCAAUGCAUACACGCCAUCCUGUAGUCACUCUAGUUGGUAUCAAUUCAUUAUCAGCAUUGGUAACUACUGUGACUCCUGACUUUUUGGGGACGACUUGUACAGGACUGACCCAUGAACUAUCAGAAAUUGGGUAAAUGAUACCUGCGUCUAAUAGCUUAAGGACUUCUGUUCUAACAACUUCUUUCAUAUUAGGAUUUAACCGACGUUGCAUUUCCCUAGUAGAUUUAGCAUUUUCAUCAAGGUGAAUGUAAUGCAUGCAGUCUACUGGGUUUAUACCUUUUAUGUCUGCUAUGGUCCAUCCUAAUGCCCCUUUGUGCUCUUUUAAAACAUCCAACAACUUACCUUUUUGUUCGUCAUUUAGGGAUGAUGAGAUGAUUACCGGUAGAGUACUUUCUUCUCCCAAAAAUGCAUAUUCUAAUGUGUUGGGCAAUGGUUUGAGCUCGAGUUUCGGUGGUGAUUCUGAUGAUGGGAUGAGUUUCUUCUCUGAUGGUGCUAGUUGUUCAACUCUUGACUUCCAUUUAUUAGUGUCCAUGGAUGGUGCUGAGUCAAGUAGAGCGUUGACCUCAUCGACUGAUCUGUCAAUAUCAAAAUCCAAACCAAAGUGAGUUAAGCAUGUCUGUAAAGGGUCAUCACUAAGGUUUGAAAUAAAAGUGUCAUCAACUAAUGCUUCAAUUAAAUCCACAUCAACAAUUCCAUCAUCUGCACUGUGAGGUUGUUUGGCAAUGUUGAAAAUAUUUAGCUCCAUAGUCAUGUUGCCGAAGGACAACUGCAUAUUUCCAGUCCUGCAUUGAAUGUGAGCAUCCGCAGUUGCCAAGAAAGGUCGGCCUAGAAUAAUGGGGAUGUGCUUCCUUGAGUCCUGUAUUGGUUGAGUGUCAAUUACAAUGAAAUCAACAGGAAAAUAAAACUUGUCUACCUGGAUAAGCACGUCCUCCACAAUACCACGAGGUAUUUUCGUGGACCGAUCUGCAAGUUGUAACACCACUGGAGUUGGGUGUAAUUCUCCCAGUCCAAGUUUCACGAAUACAGAGUAAGGCAACAAAUUUACACUAGCUCCUAGAUCCAACAAAGCAUUCUCAAUUGUGUGGUUCCCUAUACUACAUGAGAUAGUGGGGGAGCCUGGGUCUUUGCAUUUUAGAGGAAUUUUAUGUUGGAGUAUAGAACUAACAUUUUCUGUUAAAAAUGCCUUCUUUUGAACAUGCAUAUUUCUCUUUUUAGUACAAAGGUCUUUAAGAAACUUGGCAUAAGAUGGAACUUGUUUAAUAGCAUCAAGCAAAGGGAUAUUAACACUUACCUGUUUGAAGAUUUCGAGAAUCUCACCUGUGGAUUUUCCUUUCUUGCCUUUCGCUAACCUCUGAGGAAAUGGAGCUUUCGGAACGUAUUCUCGUGGGUUGGUUUCUUUUUUAUCCUCCGGUGGUGAGUCUUCAACAUUCACAGGUACAAUUUGAUUUUCUUUUGUCACCGGCAUCUCCACUUUGUUGUCGACUUCUUUUCCUUUUCGCAAGGUCAUUACUGCUUUAACUUCUCCAUGCUGCUGUGGUGAACUGGUACUUGCUUCAUGCACUCCUUUAGGAUUAGGCACUGGUUGACUUGGAAAUUUUCCUUUCUCAACAGUCAUUGCCAAGGUCUGAACUGAAGAAGCAAGUUGUCCCACCAUCUUCUCGAGGCUUGAAACUGAUUGAGCUUGUGAGUUGAAGCCUGAUCUCAACUCAUUUCGUAGUCCAUCAAUGGUGCGGUUCUGUUGCUCAAUCGUGGAGUGAGUAAUAUUCUUGAAAUUUUGGAAUGCAUCCUCCCAUGGUCUGGGUUGAGAGUAGUUCUGGUUCUGAUUGUAUGGUUUAAAUGGGGGCUGAGAGGCUUGAGGAACUUGAGGAAUUUGUUGCAUUGGUGGAGUUGGAGCUGCUGGUCCAUUCUGUUGGAAUCCUUGAGACCAUGAAAAAUUGGGGUGGUCUCUCCAUCCAGGGUUAUAUGUGUUGGAGUAUGGGUUGUAAUUUGAUGGUUUUCUCAUUACACCUAUGGCAUUGGCUUGAUCUGAGUAUGAGUCAUGGUCAUGUGGCUCUGUUGAUUUAGCAGUCGAUAACGAUGCUAUUUGUCGAGAGAGACCUUCAAUUAUUGCUUUGACUUCUUUAAUUUCUGAACUGGAUUCGCCAAUGUGAACCUCAUUCACUCCUUUAAUCCUUCUAGUAUUCCUGAGUGAUCGACUCCGUUGUUGGGAAUUGUCCGCUUGUCGCUGGAAAAACUCCCAAAUUUCUGAUGCACUUUUUGACAUUAGCUCUCCUCCACUUGUUGCCAUUAGCCAUUCUUGCACAUUCGGCAAUAAUCCCUCCAAAAAGUAUUGGCAUUGGUGCCAUUUCUCGUACCCAUGAUGUGGACACUUCAAGAGUAGCCCAUUGAAUCGCUCCCAAGUUUCGAAAAACUGCUCGUCCUCUCUCUGGGUAAACUCUGAGAUUUCCCUGCGAAUAGCAUUGGUUUUAUGCACUGGGAAAUAUUUAUUCAAAAAUUUUGUAACCAUUUGUUCCCAUGAUGCAAUGCUAUUAGCAGGCAAUGUAUUAAGCCAUGAACGAGCUCUAUCCUUUAAAGAAAAUGGGAAUAAUCUAAGUUUAACAUCAUCGUCUGAAAAAUUUUCAUAUUUAAAAGUUUGACAAAUGGCAUGAAAAUCAUUCAGAUGAUUAUAUGGGUCCUCAUUUUCUAGGCCAUAGAAUGUGGGGAGACAAUUUAGCACACUAGGUUUUAAUUCAAAACUCCUAGCAGCUACAUUUGGGUAUCUUAUGCAUGAUGUGCUCAAAUUAGCUAAGGGACUAAAAUAGUCCUUAAAUGGCCUCUCCUGUGGUGCUUGUAAAUCCAUUCCAAAUUUAUUUUUAAUGUGCUUUUGUGUGCGAAGUGUUUUUUCUAAUUCAAGGUCUAUAGGUUCAAGAUUAGGUAAUAAUGACCUACGACCAUGCAUGCAAAAUAAAUAAAAUAAAAAUAAAGAUGCAAACAAAACAAAAAAUAAAGAUGGGAACAAAACAAAUAAAAAAUAAAGAUGAUAACAAAACAAAUAAAAAUAAAGAAGAGGGAGAAAUUACGAUACUAACCUUAUUACGCUGUUACAACCUUUUUAUAAAAAUACACAAAAACAAAUACGUGAAAUAAAUUAACUAAAAAUUAAAUUAAUAAAAUAAACAAAAAUUACAAAGAAAAAAUAAAUUGAAAAUUAAAUUACAGAAUUUUAAAGAAGAGAAAAAGAAAAGAAAUACUAACCUUUAAAUGUAGAUUUACUUUUUUUUUUCUUUUUUUUUUAAUUAAAAAAAUACAAGAAAACAAAUAAAAGAAAUUAUUCACAAAAAUUAAUUCUAUGAAUUAAAAUUACUUACCUCCCCGGCAACGGCGCCAAAAACUUGUUGUGCAAAUUUUAAUGUACUCGCAAGCGCACGAAUCUAUUGUAGUAUAGACUAAUGGUGACGAGUGUCGAUCCCACGAGGAGGUGGAUUUUAAUUGUGUAUAGAAUUAAUUCUGUAAAUGGGUGGUUGGAUUUAUGGUGGAAAUGGUUUGGAAUAUGCUAAAAUCGAAAUUGAAAUGGCGAGAAGAAAUUAAAGUGUAGAUCUAUUAAAUUGACGUACUUGGGUAUCUGGAUCCGUAUCAACAUGCAUCAUGGGCUAAAUAUUCCUUAUUAAUACCAAUUAAAUCAUGAGGGGGGAAUCCACACCUCAUGAACCACGCUCUAAUCAAUAUGGUGCUAAGGGCUUAUCGUGCCAAAUAAUAAUAACCUUAUACUAGAGAGCCGGUGUAACCAAGGCGGUAUCUAGACAAGACUAUUAUUAUUUGUCGACGAUAAGUCAAAUCAUCCACAAAAAUUAGAGGGGAAAAGAAAAAUAAAUUUACCAAAUAAAGCCCAUGACACAUGUUGAGACUUCACCUUCAACCCAAGCUUGAAAGGAAAUUAGCUACUCAUAAUUGAACUAGGGGCAAAAUGAGAAUUUAUUAAAAUACAAAGAAAAUACAAGAAGGAGAGGGAAUUACAGAAAAUGGAGUCCAAAAAUGGAUUCAGGGAUAUCAAAUUAGGGGGGAGAGGCCCCCUUUUUAUAGAUACAUGGAGUAAAUCAUGGCCAUCGGAUUAAAAACAGUUUGGACGCUCAGGAUUGCGCCACGUCAUCAGUCAACAGUCCACGGUUUGACCACGCGGAUGAACAGUAACACGGUUUGACCCGACUUUGAACAGUAACGCGGUUUGACCCGGAUGAACAGUAACACGGUUUGGUUGAAAAUAAUCCUGUGUGAUGCAUGCACCGUACACGAGAUUUUUCGUUCACUGAUAUGCUGCCACGUCACCAUUACAGUACAUAAGAAUUUUAGCCCAACAGGAUCGUGACACCUCAUCAGUCAAUGCCACAUCAUCGGUCAAUGCCACGUCAUCGGUCCGUCUAUGUGAACAGUGUCGUGAACAGUAACGUAGACAGUACCGUAUACGUGAAUAGUACCGUAUAUGUGAAUAGUGCCAUUUUUCCUUUUAUGCCCCUCCUAAGGUUUUCGACCGUCCUGAGUUCAAAAGUGAUGUCCGUUUUGCCAUCUGAUCUCUCCUUUAUUGUGAAAUGACUAUAAUGCCCCUAAAAUAUAUAAAUUACUUAAUUAAAAUAAAACACACGUAAUUAAAUCACAAGAAUGUUAAAUACAUAAAAGUAAGGGUUGUUAGUAAGAUUUGAAAUGUAAAAUGACGGUUUUCUCCUUUAUAAAUAUGCAUUUUCUAACACUCAACAGGGACUAGAUUAUGCAUGCACGGAUAUGAUGAGAUAUGAGAUGAUAUUUCCCUGUCUAUCCGUGUAGCUCCGGGGCGUGACGUUACCCAGAUAGUACGUCAUUGCCCGUCCGUUGAGGUCCGGAUAUGACGAGAUUAUUUCCCUGGGUACUUGUUUGAUGAUGAUUUUCAGAUUUGUGAAUUCUAUAUGAUAUUGUGAUAUGAUUUAUUACUGGUUUCUCAUUUAUGGUUUAAUGAAAUCGUGUUUGGAAAUGGUAUGAUUAUUUCUUUUAAAGUAAGAAUUAAUUUUCAAAACUACUAUCCACUCACUGAUCUCACUGAGUUUUAAACUCAUCCCGUUUUUAUUAUAUUUUCCCCCCUCACCAGGAGGUUGCAGGUACACCAGACCGACCCAGCGACUGUAAAUAUAUUUUGAGUCUUGGCCACGUGAUGGUGUUAGAAGAUAUAGAUGUUUUUGUUAGGACAUCUUGGUCAUCUUGUUCUUUUGGGAUUGUAUACUUUUGUUAUAUUAUUCUUUUGGGAUUAAGAAUAAAUUGAGAUAUUAAUAUUAGUUAUAAUAUUAUCUUUUGAGACUCUGGAGAUAUAAAACUCAGCAUUUUGGUUGAGGAUGUUGAGCAUUGGAGUUUGUUGUAUAUUGAAUUGUAUUGGGAGUGUUAUAUUCAUAUUUGUAGAUUGGGAGUGUUAUAU